rnacentral:rRNA from 1 species
GAGUUUGAUCCUGGCUCAGGAUGAACGCUGGCGGUAUGCUUAACACAUGCAAGUUGAACGAGAGUUUUUAAUUUUAGUGGCGAACGGGUGCGUAAUACGUGAGAAUCUACCCUUAGGAGGAGUAUAACUGCUGGAAACGGUUGCUAACACUCCAUAUGUCGAGAGAUGAAAUAGUUUAUUGUAUAGGGAUGAGCUCGCGCCUGAUUAGCUAGUUGGUGAGGUAAUGGCUUGCCAAGGCCACGAUCAGCCACACUGAGACUGAGACACGGCCCAGACUCCUCCGGGAGGCAGCAGUGAGCAAUUUCCCGCAAUGGGCGAAAGCCUGACGGAGCAAUACCGCGUGAGGGAUGAAGGAUUUUGGUCUGUACCUCUUUUCUAAGAAGAAGUUCUGACGGUACUUGAGGAAUAAGCAUCGACUAACUCCGUGCCAGCAGCCGCGGUAAUACGGGGGGUGCAAGCGUUAUACGGAAUUAUUGGGCAUAAAGCGUCUGUAGGUUGUGUAAUAAGUCUGUUGUUAAAGACUAGGGCUUAACCCUAUAAAAGCAAUGGAAAUACUAGACUAGAGUAUGGAAGGGGUAGAGGAAAUUUCUAGUGUAGCGGUGAAAUGCGUAGAUAAUAGAAAGAACACCGGUGGCGAAGUCGCUCUACUGGACCAUUACUUACACUCAGAGGCGAAAGCUAGGGUAGCAAAAGGGAUUAGAUACCCCAGUAGUCUUAGCCGUAAAGGAUGGAUACUAGAUGUUGUGAGUAAAGUACAGUAUCCUAGCUAACGCGUUAAGUAUUCCGCCUGGGGAGUACGCUCGCAAGGGUGAAAAUCAAAGGAAUUGACGGGGGCCUGCACAAGCGGUGGAGCAUGUGGUUUAAUUCGAUGCAACGCGAAGAACCUUACCAGGACUUGACAUACUACAAAUUCUUUAGAGAUAGAGAAGUGCCUUCGGGAAUGUAGAUACAGGUGGUGCAUGGCUGUCGUCAGCUUGUGUCGUGCGAUGUUGGGUUAAGUCCCGCAACGAGCGCAACCCUUGUUUUUAGUUACUAAUUCAUUAGGUUUUCUAGAAAGACUGCCGGUGACAAACCGGAGGAAGGUGAGGAUGACGUCAAGUCACAUGCCCUUUAUGUCCUGGGCUACACACGUGCUACAAUGGCUAAGACAAAGAGUCGCGAGCUCGCGAGAGUCAGCUAAUCUCAUAAACUUAGCCCAAGUUCAGAUUGCAGGCUGCAACUCGCCUGCAUGAAGUUGGAAUCGCUAGUAAUCGCUGGUCAGCCAUACAGCGGUGAAUCCGUUCCCGGGCCUUGUACUCACCGCCCGUC